CCUUACCUACCUUGACAUGCUAGGAGCUUGCCAGAGAUGGCUUGGUGCCGAAAGGGAACCUAGACACAGGUGCUGCAUGGCUGUCGUCAGCUCGUGUCGUGAGAUGUUGGGUUAAGUCCCGCAACGAGCGCAACCCUUGUCAUUAGUUGCUACAUUCAGUUGGGCACUCUAAUGAGACUGCCGGUGACAAACCGGAGGAAGGUGGGGAUGACGUCAAGUCCUCAUGGCCCUUAUAGGUGGGGCUACACACGUCAUACAAUGGAUGGUACAAAGGGUCGCCAACCCGCGAGGGGGAGCCAAUCCCAUAAAGCCAUUCGUAGUCCGGAUCGCAGUCUGCAACUCGACUGCGUGAAGUCGGAAUCGCUAGUAAUCGUGGAUCAGAAUGUCACGGUGAAUACGUUCCCGGGUCUU
rnacentral:rRNA from 1 species